GGAUUAGAUACCCUGGUAGUCCACGCUGUAAACGAUGUAUACUAGGUGUUGGCCGUUUGGUCAGUGCUGCAGUUAACGCAUUAAGUAUACCACCUGGGGAGUACGUCGGCAACGAUGAAACUCAAAGGAAUUGACGGGGGCCCGCACAAGCGGUGGAGCAUGUGGCUUAAUUCGAUGCAACGCGAAGAACCUUACCUGGGCUAAAUCCACGGCGCUACCUCUGGAAACAGAGGGUUUCUUCGGAACGCUGUGGAAGGUGCUGCAUGGCUGUCGUCAGCUCGUGCUG
rnacentral:rRNA from 1 species